AAUCUUUCCAUUCCAACUCUUGGGUAAGUCGACCAGAUCUCAUGGAAUUGGGCCUCUAAUCAUAUUCUCUUGUUGAUGGGCCCAUAUAUCCAAAACAUCUGCAUAAUAUUCCCAAAUUGGUUCCCUAAUUACUUCAUCUCACACUACUUCAUUUCAUUGUUUUUGACUUUAAAGCUUGAGUGGAUAACUCCAUAACCGAAGCUCCAUUUAAGCUCAAAAUACUCCAACACCCCCUCCCCCCAACCCCCUCGAGUUAGAGGGGAUCUAGAAACAUCCAACAUAUGCAAGAUAUUGUGAUGAGUAAGCGACUUGAUUAAGAGGUCUGUCAAUUGAGAAAAUGACCAUACAUAAGACAAAGAGAUGAGUCCAACUAGGUAUUGUUGAUGAAUGAAAUGGCAUUCAAUCUCGACGUCCCUCGUCCGCUCAUGAAAUAUGAAAUUUUUUGUGAUAUAAAUCGCAACAAGACUAUCAAAAUAAAUAGGUACCGUUAAAGAGAUCGGAACAGAGAGAUCUUCUAAUCGAACUAACCAAGUACUCAAGUCUGAAUCAUGAAACGCAAGUAAUUCGAAGGAAUGAUAAGCUGCAUAAAGAGUCCAAGCACUGGAUCCUUGAGAAAAUAGCGAAAAACUCAUAAGGUAAUAACCAUAUGAGGUUAGCGAGGGUCCUGCAUAUAUUGGCUUAGAUGUUGAAUUGUGAAUGAGAUAUUCGGUCUCGUAUGAGUCAGCCAACAUUGUUAGAGGUUCAUUUCCGUCCUCACCCAGAAGGGGAAAGCAAGGAAAGCAAGAAGUAUCAAAAGAAAAUCACAGAAUAAAAACCAACAAAGCAGAUGAGAAGCUGAGCUUACUCUUGCAAGAUGGACAUGCAGAUGUUCGUGCAAAUCUAAGGCACAGUGUUUAUGACCCAGAGAAGAAGCAUUAGAAGCUGAAAAUUUUCAAAAUCUGCCAUGCCAAAGGAGGCGGAAUGCUAAGAGUAUUGAAGAAGAUGACUUAUCCCAUUUUAGAAACCCUAUUCUUAUUUAUAUAUGCGUGUAAUUUUUUCUUUUUGGACCAUGUCUUUUGGGUGGACCGGAUUUUUUUUUGUUUUGGUUCGUGUUUUUGUGUUUAUGGUAUUGAAUGGGUUGGUCCAUUCAAUACAAAAGUUAUUUUAAUUAUCAAUAAAAGCACCAUUUAAACAAAAAAAACCAUCGCCACUAAUCUUAAAAGUUGCAGCCUUUUGCUGACCCACAUCUCCCUUAAUCUUCAUUAAGAUCGGAUCCAGUACCUGCUUCUCCUUUAUUUCAGCAAUAAGAGAUAACUUCGUCUCUUCUUGCACAAACACACCAGCAUCCUCAGAGUCCAAGAGACGAACUCCAAGGUUAACCAAAUGGUUAAUAUCUUUCACUAAUUCCUGCUUAUUCUUAUCCACAUGCGUUAGAAUCCCCAUGGAUAACCUGCUAAGAGCAUCAACAACCACAUUAGCUUUACCUGGGUGAUAGUGGAGACUCAUGUUUUAAUCUUUCAGCAACUGGAGCCACUUUCUUUUCCUGUGAUUCAACUCUUUCUGGGUAAACACAUAUUGCAGAUUCUUGUGAUCAGAAAAGAUAUCUACAUGGACUCUAUACAAAUAGUGAUGCCAAAUUUUCAAUGCGAACACCACAAUCGACAACUCCAAGUCAUGAGUCGGGUAAUUCUUCUCAUGAACUUUCAACUACCUAGAUGCAUAGGAUAUUACCCCACCAUGCUGCAUCAACACACAACCAAGUCCCACACAAGAAGCAUCACAAUAAACAACAAAAGCAUCAGUGCCUUCAGGCAGAGUCAAAAUUGGAGCUAAAGUCAACUUAUCUUUAGCUUCUCAAAAUUAUGCUCACAAGCGCCAGACCACAUAAACUUCACCUUUUUCUGAGUCAACUUAGUUAACGGGUCAGCAAUAGUCGUGAAAAUCUCCACAAAUCUCCUAUAGUAGCCGGCUAAACCCAAAAAGCUUCGAAUAUCGAUUGUAGUGGUGGGCCUAGGCCACUUCUUAACCAUUGCAACUUUCUGCGGAUCCACCAUGACCCCUUCACUAAAAAUGACAUGAACCAGAAAAGUAACAGCCUUCAACCAAAAUUUGCGCUUUAAAAACUUAACAUAAUAAUUCUGAUCUUUCAAGGUUCACAACUUGAUACAGAGGUGAUCGGUGAUGUGUCAUGGAAACAAGACACUUUCAAUGCUUAAAAUCAAGAAUUUAUGCGGAUACUUAGGCUGUUUUAGUAGGUAUGAUGCACUUUUCUGUUUGUUUCAGGUAAAAUAGGUUUAUAAUAGUAUUGGAAUAAAAAUAGAAGAACAAGACCUGGAAAGACCAAGUCUGAUCAAGAUACGAGUCACCUCACGAGUCGUAAGCAUGGUAUAUGAUUCAUAUGAUGACUCGUAAGCAACACAGAACCUAAGACUUGAACAAAAGGCUAAGUGAAGAAAAGAUACGACUCAGCUAUACGAGUCAUAUACUGAGGAUACGGGUCGUGACCAACAAUUGUGAGCAUAACAGUGUCCAAAUCUACAACCAGGAGUUAAAGUACCAGAAGGAUAUGAGUCGGAAGUCUGAGUAUGACUCGUAUAGUCAAAUCAUACACAAACCAGUGUUCAAAUCUUGGAAAGAGAAAAGUCCCAAGUGGAUACGAGUGAAGGACACGAGUCGUACACUCAGGUAUGACUUGUAAGCGAAUGUCGUAAGCUAAAUAGGAAGUUGAAGCCUUGGGAGAUAAAACACUGGAUUGGAUACGAGAAGGCAGGGUACGACUCGUACGAUGCUGGUACGAGUGAAGAAUGAUUCACACCUGCUGCCGACAUAAUUUAACCUUUCCCAUUUUUAUUAGGAUUUUUAUGUUAUUUUGAGAUACUAUAAAUACCCUAGGGUUUAUCUUAUAUUAGGUGUGACACUCUUUUACAUAUUAUUACAAUACUUUACAAUCCUUUUACAAUUGCUCUUGAGAUUUUGGGUUUUUAUUUAAUUACAGACUUCGGAGUUUAUUCAUCUUAUUCUUGUGCAAUUGAUUUUAUGUGUUGUUCAUUGAUAAUCAUGGUUUUUUGCAUAAAUAUGAGUGGCUAAUCUCCUUAACUAGGGUUGUGGGAACCCUGGAGGAUUAGCUACGUAGAGAAAAUGUGAUACUAAGUUAUUCUGGGGUUUAUGCAUGUAUUUUAAUCUUCUUCGCAAUAAUUAAUCUCAAGUAACUGCAGUAGCUUGAGAUAGCCUGUAUUUGCAUCCAUCCCUAAUAAGGAUUUUGUGAUUAGGAAAAGAAGUUAAGACAGUGAUUUGGCAUCUUUCUACCUCUCCUUUUUAGUCCCCGCGUCUCAUCUAAUCACUUGAUACUAAAAGGUGAUAGUGAUCUGAGGUCAUAUCAAGGAGCAAUAAGGCGACGCCCUGAGACUUAAUUGGUAAAGGGUGUACAAGUGCUGAGAAGAAAAGAAGCCAACUUGAGCAAAAAAGAUAAAAAAGGGAAUUGAAGUGCAAGAGCUGGACAAGCUGAAGCAGGAUUAAGAUCUAUCCGCGAUCGCGUCGAGUCAAGAUAGUCAACCAACUGCGAUCGCGAUGGACUAACCGCAAUCGUAGUGAGUGCGAUCGCGUUCAAUCUCCCACGAUCGUGUGAGGGCGGAAAAUAGCCUAAGGGCAGAAACAUCAUUUUGAUCAGCCGACCACAAAUCCAAUUUAAGGCUUAAAAUCCAUUUAUUCUAGGGCAUCCAGGACCUAUCUUUCCACAACUCUACCUCCCAUCCUUAGUCUAGAGAUUUUGUAAUUUUUGGAGCUUGGAGCUCAAAUUUUGUACUAAUUUGAGAAAACAUUAGAGUAACUUCCUAGUGUAGAUUUGACUUUGUCUAUUGAAGAUUCAUUUGAGUCUAAAGUGUGAUUUUCCCU